rnacentral:rRNA from 1 species
AUUGAACGCUGGCGGCAUGCCUUACACAUGCAAGUCGAACGGUAACAGGUCUUCGGAUGCUGACGAGUGGCGAACGGGUGAGUAAUACAUCGGAACGUGCCCGAGAGUGGGGGAUAACGAGGCGAAAGCUUUGCUAAUACCGCAUACGAUCUCAGGAUGAAAGCAGGGGACCGCAAGGCCUUGCGCCCACGGAGCGGCCGAUGGCAGAUUAGGUAGUUGGUGGGAUAAAAGCUUACCAAGCCGACGAUCUGUAGCUGGUCUGAGAGGACGACCAGCCACACUGAGACUGAGACACGGCCCAGACUCCUACGGGAGGCAGCAGUGGGGAAUUUUGGACAAUGGGCGCAAGCCUGAUCCAGCCAUGCCGCGUGCAGGAUGAAGGCCUUCGGGUUGUAAACUGCUUUUGUACGGAACGAAAAGACUCUGGUUAAUACCUGGGGUCCAUGACGGUACCGUAAGAAUAAGCACCGGCUAACUACGUGCCAGCCGCCGCCGUAAGAC